rnacentral:rRNA from 1 species
GUUUGAUCCUGGCUCAGGAUUAACGCUGGCGGCGUGCCUAAUACAUGCAAGUCGAACGGAAACCUUCGGGUUUUAGUGGCGAACGGGUGAGUAACACGUAAGCAACCUACCCUAAAGACGAGGAUAACCAUUGGAAACAGUGGCUAAGACUGGAUAGGAAGAAAUAAGGCAUCUUUUUUCUUUUAAAAGACCUAGUGAUAGGUAUACUUUAGGAGGGGCUUGCGCCAUAUUAGUUAGUUGGUAGGGUAAUGGCCUACCAAGACGAUGAUGUGUAGCUGGACUGAGAGGUUGAACAGCCACAUUGGGACUGAGACACGGCCCAAACUCCUACGGGAGGCAGCAGUAGGGAAUUUUCGGCAAUGGAGGAAACUCUGACCGAGCAACGCCGCGUGAACGACGAAGUACUUUGGUAUGUAAAGUUCUUUUAUCAAGGAAGAAAAGCAAGUGGUGAACCAUUUGUUUGCCGGUACUUGAUGAAUAAGCCCCGGCUAAUUAUGUGCCAGCAGCCGCGGUAAGACAUAAGGGGCAAGUGUUAUCCGGAAUUAUUGGGCGUAAAGGGUGCGUAGGCGGUCUAGUAAGUCAGUGGUGUAAUGGCAACGCUCAACGUUGUCCGGCUAUUGAAACUGCUAAACUUGAGUUAGAUAGAGGCGAGUGGAAUUCCAUGUGUAGCGGUAAAAUGCGUAAAUAUAUGGAGGAACACCAGAGGCGUAGGCGGCUCGCUGGGUCUUAACUGACGCUGAGGCACGAAAGCGUGGGGAGCAAACAGGAUUAGAUACCCUGGUAGUCCACGCCGUAAACGAUGAGUACUAAGUGUCGGGUUAAACCGGUACUGAAGUUAACACAUUAAGUACUCCGCCUGAGUAGUACGUACGCAAGUAUGAAACUUAAAGGAAUUGACGGGACUCCGCACAAGCGGUGGAUCAUGUUGUUUAAUUCGAAGAUACCCGAAAAACCUUACCAGGUCUUGACAUGUUUUUGCGAAACGGUAGUAAUAUCGUGGAGGUUAUCAGAAACACAGGUGGUGCAUGGGUGUCGUCAGCUCGUGUCGUGAGAUGUUAGGUUAAGUCCUAAAACGAGCGAAACCCUUAUCGUUAGUUGCCAGCACGUUAUGGUGGGGACUUUAACGAGACUGCCAGUGAUAAAUUGGAGGAAGGUGAGGAUCACGUCAAAUCAGCAUGCCCCUUAUGACCUGGGCUACAAACGUGAUACAAUGGCUGUUACAAAGGGUAGCUGAAACGCAAGUUCUUGGCCAAUCCCCAAAAACAGUCUCAGUCCGGAUUGAAGUCUGCAACUCGACUUCAUGAAGUUGGAAUCGCUAGUAAUCGCGAAUCAGCAUGUCGCGGUGAAUACGUUCUCGGGGUUUGUACACACCGCCCGUCAAACCACGAAAGUUGGCAAUACCCCAAAACGGUAGCCUAACUCGUUUAUCGAGAGGGCGCUGUCUAAGGUAGGGUCGAUGAUUGGGGUUAAGUCGUAACAAGGUAUCCCUACCGGAAGGUGGGGAUGGAUCACCUCCUUUCU